UACGUAGGGGGCAAGCGUUGUCCGGAUUUACUGGGCGUAAAGAGCGUGUAGGCGGCCAAACAGGUCCGUUGUGAAAACUGGAGGCUCAACCUCCAGACGUCGACGGAAACCGUAUGGCUAGAGUCCGGAAGAGGAGAGUGGAAUUCCUGGUGUAGCGGUGAAAUGCGCAGAUAUCAGGAAGAACACCUAUGGCGAAGGCAGCUCUCUGGGCCAACACUGACACUCAUGCACGAAAGCGUGGGGAGCAAACAGG
rnacentral:rRNA from 1 species